UGGGGGAUAUUGCACAAUGGGGGGAACCCUGAUGCAGCAACGCCGCGUGAGGGAAGAAGGUUUUCGGAUUGUAAACCUCUGUCCUCUGUGAAGAAGAUGACGGUAGCAGAGGAGGAAGCUCCGGCUAACUACGUGCCAGCAGCCGCGGUAAUACGUAGGGAGCGAGCGUUGUCCGGAAUUACUGGGUGUAAAGGGUGCGUAGGCGGCUUAUCAAGUCAGGUGUGAAAAUUAUGGGCUCAACCCAUAACCUGCACUUGAAACUGGAAGGCUUGAGUGAAGUAGAGGUAGGCGGAAUUCCCGGUGUAGCGGUGAAAUGCGUAGAGAUCGGGAGGAACACCAGUGGCGAAGGCGGCCUACUGGGCUUUAACUGACGCUGAAGCACGAAAGCAUGGGUAGCAAACAGG
rnacentral:rRNA from 1 species